rnacentral:rRNA from 1 species
CAAUAGCGUAUAUUAAAGUUGUUGCAGUUAAAAAGCUCGUAGUUGGAUUUGUGGCGUACGGUGUGUUCCGGGCACUUGUUGUCUGAGUAACCUGCUGUUGCCAUCCUUGGGUGGAACCUGUGUGGCAUUAGGUUGUCGUGCAGGGGAUGCCCAUCAUUUACUGUGAAAAAAUUAGAGUGUUCAAAGCAGGCUUAUGCCGUUGAAUAUAUUAGCAUGGAAUAAUGAGAUAGGACUUUUUUGCUAUUUUGUUGGUUUGCGCAAAGAGGUAAUGAUUAAUAGGGACAGUUGGGGGUAUUCGUAUUCCAUUGUCAGAGGUGAAAUUCUUGGAUUUUUGGAAGACGAACUACUGCGAAAGCAUUUACCGAGGAUGUUUUCAUUAA